rnacentral:rRNA from 1 species
GUGAGGAAUUUUCCGCAAUGGGCGAAAGCCUGACGGAGCAAUGCCGCGUGAAGGAUGAAGGCCUAUGGGUUGUAAACUUCUUUUCUCAGAAAAGAAUUAUGACGGUAUCUGAGGAAUAAGCAUCGGCUAACUCUGUGCCAGCAGCCGCGGUAAGACAGAGGAUGCAAGCGUUAUCCGGAAUGAUUGGGCGUAAAGCGUCUGUAGGUUGUUUAAAAAGUAUUCUGUCAAAGAUUAGGGCUUAACCCUAGAUAGGCAGAAUAAACUUUUAAGCUAGAGUUUGGUAGAGGCAGAGGGAAUUCCCGGUGGAGCGGUGAAAUGCGUAGAUAUCGGGAGGAACACCAAAGGCGAAGGCACUCUGCUGGGCCAAUACUAACACUGAGAGGCGAAAGCGAGGGGAGCAAAUGGGAUUAGAAACCCGGGUAGUCC